rnacentral:tRNA from 1 species
GGGCUCGUAGUCGAAUGGUUAAGACGCUGCUCUCACACAGCAGAGAUUCCCGGUCCGAUUCCGGGCGGGCCCAC